AGCUUUGCACAGUGGGUAGUAAUAUAACCAAUGAAGUGAAUCUGAGGUGUGAUUAUUGCUACUUGGAAAUCGCCUCCUCUCCCUUCCUGGGUGGUAGAUGGUACAGUACUACUGUAGAACGCAGAAACGU
rnacentral:snRNA from 1 species